rnacentral:rRNA from 1 species
AGAGUUUGAUCCUGGCUCAGGAUGAACGCUAGCGGCAGGCUUAACACAUGCAAGUCGAGGGGCAUCGGAGGGAAGCUUGCUUCCUUGCCGGCGACCGGCGCACGGGUGAGUAACACGUAUGCAACCUGCCCUCUUCAGGGGGACAACCUUCCGAAAGGGAGGCUAAUCCCGCGUAUAUCGGUUUCGGGCAUCCGAGAUCGAGGAAAGAUUCAUCGGAAGAGGAUGGGCAUGCGGCGCAUUAGCUUGACGGCGGGGGUAACGGCCCACCGUGGCGACGAUGCGUAGGGGUUCUGAGAGGAAGGUCCCCCACACUGGUACUGAGACACGGACCAGACUCCUACGGGAGACAGCAGUGAGGAAUAUUGGUCAAUGGGAGAGAUCCUGAACCAGCCAAGCCGCGUGAGGGAAGACGGCCCUAUGGGUUGUAAACCUCUUUUGUCGGAGAACAAAACCCGGGACGUGUCCCGGACUGCGUGUAUCCGAAGAAAAAGCAUCGGCUAACUCCGUG